rnacentral:rRNA from 1 species
CCUACGGGAGGCAGCAGUGAGGAAUAUUGCUCAAUGGCCGAGAGGCUGAACCAGCCAAGUCGCGUGAGGGAAGACGGCCCUACGGGUUGUAAACCUCUUUUGUCGGGGAGCAAAGCGAGUCACGUGUGACUCAUUGAGAGUACCCGAAGAAAAAGCAUCGGCUAACGCCGUGCCAGCAGCCGCGGUAAUACGGAGGAUGCGAGCGUUAUCCGGAUGUAUGGGGGUAAAAGGGUGCGCAGGCGGAGGUGCAAGUCAGCGGUCAAAUUGCUGGGCUCACCCCCGUACUGCCGUUGAUACUGCAGCCCUUGAGUGCGCGAGAAGUAUGCGGAAUGCGUGGUGUAGCGGUGAAAUGCGUAGAUAUCACGCAGAACUCCGAUUGCGAAGGCAGCAUACCGGCGCGCAACUGACGCUCAUGCACGAAAGCGUGGGUAUCGAACAGGAUUAGAUACCCUAGUAGUC